rnacentral:rRNA from 1 species
UGGGGGAUAUUGCACAAUGGGCGAAAGCCUGAUGCAGCGACGCCGCGUGGGGGAUGAAGGCUUUCGGGUUGUAAACCUCUUUCGCUAUCGAACAAGGCCCGCUUAGGGUGGGUUGAGGGUAGGGGGAGAAGAAGCGCCGGCUAACUACGUGCCAGCAGCCGCGGAAAUACGUAGGGCGCGAGCGUUGUCCGGAAUUAUUGGGCGUAAAGGGCUUGUAGGCGGCUUGUUGCGCCUGCUGUGAAAACGCGGGGCUUAACUUCGCGCGUGCAGUGGGUACGGGCAGGCUUGAGUGUGGUAGGGGUGACUGGAAUUCCAGGUGUAGCGGUGGAAUGCGCAGAUAUCUGGAGGAACACCGAUGGCGAAGGCAGGUCACUGGGCCAUUACUGACGCUGAGGAGCGAAAGCAUGGGUAGCGAACAGG